rnacentral:rRNA from 1 species
GUGGGGAAUAUUGGACAAUGGGCGAAAGCCUGAUCCAGCCAUGCCGCGUGUGUGAAGAAGGUCUUCGGAUUGUAAAGCACUUUAAGUUGGGAGGAAGGGCAGUAAGUUAAUACCUUGCUGUUUUGACGUUACCGACAGAAUAAGCACCGGCUAACUUCGUGCCAGCAGCCGCGGUAAUACGAAGGGUGCAAGCGUUAAUCGGAAUUACUGGGCGUAAAGCGCGCGUAGGUGGUUUUGUAAGUUGGAGGUGAAAUCCCCGGGCUCAACCUGGGAACUGCCUACAAAACUGCAUGACUAGAGUACGGUAGAGGGUAGUGGAAUUUCCUGUGUAGCGGUGAAAUGCGUAGAUAUAGGAAGGAACACCAGUGGCGAAGGCGACUACCUGGACUGAUACUGACACUGAGGUGCGAAAGCGUGGGGAGCAAACAGGAUUAGAAACCCUGGUAGUCC